UUUUUAUUUAUUUUAUUUUUUUAUUUAUUUAUUUAUUUUUGAGAUAGGGUCUUGCUAAGUUACCCAGGCUGGCCUCAAACUUGGGAUUUUCCCGCAAUAGCCUCCUGAGUGUCUGGUAUUACAGCUGGGUGCCAUUAGCCCAGCUUAUUAGUAAUUUUUCAGUGAAGUCAGUUAACACAAAAUGAGUGGAAAUAGCCCUGAACCCAUGCAAAGUUAUGUUUUAAAACUUUAGAAAUUAAUUAACUUGAACCUCCAAAUGUAUUCUCUGAAGUGUUAUAAAUGGUGAUUAUGUAGCUAAACUAGUUGACAAAAAUCUGUUGAAGGUUACUAUAUAGUAUUGGUUGAGCUCAACUGUUAAGUCCUAGGGGUGAGAUAAACAUGAAGGAAGGCAGUGUCUUCCCCUUGGCUUAGUGAGAGACUAACUUUACCAAGGCAAUGUUUUCAAAAGGCAGUUUGUCUUGGAAUGCCCUCCCUCCAUCUUUACAUGGAGACCCUUUACUUCAAGUCCUCAAGUAUCAAGUCAUACUACCCUCAACUCCUUUGUGGUCUUCUCCUCAGGCUUUCUUCUCUGCAGCUCAAAUUAUUCUAGGCUUGGAAAUUACCUAUGUGCUGGAGAUGGAACCCAAGUCCUCCAGCACACUCAGAACACACUGUACCGCUGAGCUACAUCCCAGUUACACUUCUUUUUGUUUAAAUAAAAUGUCCAUUUUCUUAAUAUUGCUCAUCUCAAUAUAUUUGACCCUACAUUGUCCUAAAGUGUGAGCAAUAACUGCUGACACCACUCCCCCGACUCUACUGGAAUUUUUUUUUAAAUAAAGUACUCAAAGCAAUGAUCCAGUUGAUAAGAUUCAAAAAUAAAAGGGGAGGACUGGGG
rnacentral:lncRNA from 1 species